rnacentral:rRNA from 1 species
GAUGAACGCUAGCUACAGGCUUAACACAUGCAAGUCGAGGGGCAGCAUGGUCUUAGCUUGCUAAGGCCGAUGGCGACCGGCGCACGGGUGAGUAACACGUAUCCAACCUGCCGUCUACUCUUGGACAGCCUUCUGAAAGGAAGAUUAAUACAAGAUGGCAUCAUGAGUCCGCAUGUUCACAUGAUUAAAGGUAUUCCGGUAGACGAUGGGGAUGCGUUCCAUUAGAUAGUAGGCGGGGUAACGGCCCACCUAGUCUUCGAUGGAUAGGGGUUCUGAGAGGAAGGUCCCCCACAUUGGAACUGAGACACGGUCCAAACUCCUACGGGAGGCAGCAGUGAGGAAUAUUGGUCAAUGGGCGAGAGCCUGAACCAGCCAAGUAGCGUGAAGGAUGACUGCCCUAUGGGUUGUAAACUUCUUUUAUAAAGGAAUAAAGUCGGGUAUGGAUACCCGUUUGCAUGUACUUUAUGAAUAAGGAUCGGCUAACUCCGUGCCAGCAGCCGCGGUAAUACGGGGGAUCCGAGCGUUAUCCGGAUUUAUUGGGUUUAAAGGGAGCGUAGAUGGAUGUUUAAGUCAGUUGUGAAAGUUUGCGGCUCAACCGUAAAAUUGCAGUUGAUACUGGAUAUCUUGAGUGCAGUUGAGGCAGGCGGAAUUCGUGGUGUAGCGGUGAAAUGCUUAGAUAUCACGAAGAACUCCGAUUGCGAAGGCAGCCUGCUAAGCUGCAACUGACAUUGAGGCUCGAAAGUGUGGGUAUCAAACAGGAUUAGAUACCCUGGUAGUCCACACGGUAAACGAUGAAUACUCGCUGUUUGCGAUAUACUGCAAGCGGCCAAGCGAAAGCGUUAAGUAUUCCACCUGGGGAGUACGCCGGCAACGGUGAAACUCAAAGGAAUUGACGGGGGCCCGCACAAGCGGAGGAACAUGUGGUUUAAUUCGAUGAUACGCGAGGAACCUUACCCGGGCUUAAAUUGCAGAUGAAUUACGGUGAAAGCCGUAAGCCGCAAGGCAUCUGUGAAGGUGCUGCAUGGUUGUCGUCAGCUCGUGCCGUGAGGUGUCGGCUUAAGUGCCAUAACGAGCGCAACCCUUGUUGUCAGUUACUAACAGGUUCCGCUGAGGACUCUGACAAGACUGCCAUCGUAAGAUGUGAGGAAGGUGGGGAUGACGUCAAAUCAGCACGGCCCUUACGUCCGGGGCUACACACGUGUUACAAUGGGGGGUACAGAGGGCCGCUACCACGCGAGUGGAUGCCAAUCCCAAAAACCUCUCUCAGUUCGGACUGGAGUCUGCAACCCGACUCCACGAAGCUGGAUUCGCUAGUAAUCGCGCAUCAGCCACGGCGCGGUGAAUACGUUCCCGGGCCUUGUACACACCGCCCGUCAAGCCAUGGGAGCCGGGGGUACCUGAAGUGCGUAACCGCGAGGAGCGCCCUAGGGUAAAACUGGUGACUGGGGCUAAGUCGUAA